AUACGUAGGGUGCGAGCGUUGUCCGGAAUUACUGGGCGUAAAGAGCUCGUAGGUGGUUUGUCGCGUUGUUCGUGAAAUCUCACGGCUUAACUGGGAACGUGCGGGCGAUACUGGCAGACUAGAGUACUGCAGAGGAGACUGGAAUUCCUGGUGUAGCGGUGGAAUGCGCAGAUAUCAGGAGGAACACCGGUGGCGAAGGCGGGUCUCUGGACAGUAACUGACGCUGAGGAGCGAAAGCGUGGGGAGCGAACAGGAUUAGAUACCCUGGUAGUCCACGCCGUAAACGGUGGGUACUAUUUGUGGGUUUCCUUCCUUGGGCUCCGUGCCGUAGCUAACGCAUUAAGUCGACCGCCUGGGGAGUACGGCCGCAAGGCUAAAACUCAAAGGAAUUGACGGGGGCCCGCACAAGCGGCGGAGCAUGUGGAUUAAUUCGAUGCAACGCGAAGAACCUUACCUACUCUUGACAUGCACAGGACGCGUCUAGAGAUAGGCGUUGCCUUGUGGACUCUGAGCAGGUGCUGCAUGGCUGUCGUCAGCUCGUGUCGUGA
rnacentral:rRNA from 1 species